rnacentral:rRNA from 1 species
UACGUAGGGGGCGAGCGUUGUCCGGAUUUAUUGGGCGUAAAGAGCUCGUAGGCGGUUUGGUAAGUCGGGUGUGAAAUCUCCACGCUCAACGUGGAGGGGCCACUCGAUACUGCCAUGACUCGAGUCCGGUAGAGGAGUGUGGAAUUCCCGGUGUAGCGGUGAAAUGCGCAGAUAUCGGGAGGAACACCCGUAGCGAAGGCGGCACUCUGGACCGGAACUGACGCUGAGGAGCGAAAGCGUGGGGAGCAAACAGGG